CAGAAUCUCACAGUUAUAGUUCUCCUACUGAGCUAUGGAUUCUAAAUUUUGCUUCGAAAGUAAAAGCUAAAUCAAUACACAAAGGACUUCUGUGUAGCUAUGAUGCUAUUCAUUACUGGCUUCCCUGUAGGUUAGAUAUAUCUGUGUUUCCCAGUGUUCAAGGUCUGGAGAGCAUUUUUCCAAGCUGGUGUCUUCCAGGCAAGACUUAUUUGCAGGGACAGCUUUUUCCAGGCUUAUGUCUGUGUGCUUCUGCUGUGUUGUGAUUCUCACCUCUGUGCACGGUACUGGAUGUGCCUAAACACUAUCUCAAGCAGCACCACUCUGGAAAUUAAACGAUUGGGCACUAGUCACCUAGGAAGUGAACCUACAAACAAAACACACUCUACUUUUUAAAUAUCAAAAAAUUUUUUGUGUGUGGUACUGGGAAUGAAACCCAGGGGAGCUCUACACUGAGCCAUAUCCCCAGCCCUUUUUAUUUUUUUAUUUUGAGACGGUUUCUCACUAAGUUGCCCAGGCUGGCCUUGAGACCCUCCUCCCUCAGCCUCCCAUGGCACUAGGAUUAUAGGGCUGUGUCGCUGUGCCCAGCACGUUUUGUUUGUUUAUUUAUUUAUUUUUCAGUAUUAGGGAUAGAACCAGGGGCAUUUUACCACUGAGCUACAUCCCCAGCGGUUUUUUUUUUUUUUUUUGAGCAGGGUCUAAGUUGCUCAGGGUCUUGCAAUGCUGAGGCUGGUCUCAAACUUAUGAUUCUCCUACCUCAGCCUCCUGAGUUGCUGGGAUUAUGCCUGGCUUCAUUUCUUUUAGUUUUUAAUAGUAGAUGGACACAAUACAUUUAUUUUUUUUUUUAAUGUGGUGCUGAGGAUCAAACCCAGUGCUUCACACGUGCUAGGCAAGCACUCUACCAACUGAGCUACAGCCCCAGCCCUCAUUUCCUUUAGUUUUAAAAGACAAAGUUGCAUUGGGAUCUGUUUGUGCCAUUUAGUGCUGUGCAAUUGGAUAGAAACGGCCUGUGGUCAGUGGGUGACACAGGGAGGACCGUGUUGUACAUUCACACUGGGAUGGUGAACUGGAAGAGCUUCCGGAGAGGGCGAGCAUAUGCUGCAUCCAGUGGGAUAUCAGGCUGCCUGACAGUUGCUGAAUCGUCCAAUCCUGGCUGUUUGAAGUCCUUUGC
rnacentral:lncRNA from 1 species